UACGUAGGGUGCGAGCGUUAAUCGGAAUUACUGGGCGUAAAGCGUGCGCAGGCGGUUCGUUAAGUUCGAUGUGAAAGCCCCGGGCUCAACCUGGGAACUGCAUUGGAAACUGGCGAGCUUGAGUAUGGCAGAGGGGGGUGGAAUUCCGCGUGUAGCAGUGAAAUGCGUAGAGAUGCGGAGGAACACCGAUGGCGAAGGCA
rnacentral:rRNA from 1 species